rnacentral:rRNA from 1 species
UUCAAAGUGGAGAGUUUGAUCCUGGCUCAGAACGAACGCUGGCGGCGUGCUUAACACAUGCAAGUCGAGCGCGAAAGGGGGGGCAACCCCCCGAGUAGAGCGGCGCACGGGUGAGUAACGCGUGGGUAACCUGCCCCCGGGCGGG